rnacentral:rRNA from 1 species
UUAAAGUUGUUGCAGUUAAAAAGCUCGUAGUUGGAUUUCUGAUAGUAGCGUUGGGCCCGCCCGGGUUACCGGUGUGAGUGCCUGUUCGCUCCUUUCAUCCUUCUAGAGAACGGUUCUCUCCUUCAUUGGCAGUGGGAUCGCAAUCUAGAUCUUUUACUUUGAAAAAAUUAGAGUGUUUAAAGCAGGCUUGUGCUGUGAAUACAUUAGCAUGGAAUAAUAAUUUAGGACUUUAGUUCUAUUUUGUUGGUUUCUAGAACUGAAGUAAUGAUUGAUAGGGAUAGUUGGGGGUGCUAGUAUUCAGCGGCCAGAGGUGAAAUUCUUGGAUUCGCUGAAGACUAACUUAUGCGAAAGCAUUCACCAAGGAUGUCUUCUUUAAUCAAGAACGAAAGUUGGGGGAUCGAAGACGAUCAGAUACCGUCGUAGUCUCAACCAUAAACUAUGCCGACUAAGGAUGAGUGAACGUUAAUUUGACUUCAUUCGCACUUUAUGAGAAAUCAAAGUUUUUGGGUUCCGGGGGGAGUAUGGUCGCAAGGCUGAAACUUAAAGGAAUUGACGG